GACGAACGCUGGCGGCGUGCUUAACACAUGCAAGUCGAACGGAAAGGCCCUGCUUUUGUGGGGUGCUCGAGUGGCGAACGGGUGAGUAACACGUGAGUAACCUGCCCUUGACUUUGGGAUAACUUCAGGAAACUGGGGCUAAUACCGGAUAGGAGCUCCUGCUGCAUGGUGGGGGUUGGAAAGUUUCGGCGGUUGGGGAUGGACUCGCGGCUUAUCAGCUUGUUGGUGGGGUAGUGGCUUACCAAGGCUUUGACGGGUAGCCGGCCUGAGAUGGUGACCGGCCACAUUGGGACUGAGGUACGGACCAGACUCCUACGGGAGGCAGCAGUGGGGAAUAUUGCGCAAUGGGCGGAAGCCUGAUGCAGCAACGCCGCGUGCGGGAUGACGGCCUUCGGGUUGUAAACAGAUUUCGCAUGUGACGAAGAGUGAGUGACGGUAAUGGGUAAAGAAGCACCGGCUAACUACGUG
rnacentral:rRNA from 1 species